CUUCUGUGGAUGGACACUUGGGUUGAUUCCACGUCUUGGCUAUUGUAAACAGUGCUCCUGUGAACGUGAAAGUGCAGCCAUCUCUCUGGAACUCUGUUUUCGUUUACUUUGGAUGUAUACCCAGACGUGGGAUUGCUGGAUCAAAUGGCAGACCCAAGGACACGUCCGCUGAACCACACCUGACCCACAGAGUGGCAGAGGGCGAGCUGUGUGCAAGAUGGAAGCUGAGAAUAAUUCUGCAAAUGUGCUGAAAACAAUCCAGAUCCUCUCAGUACAGUCUCUCAAUCUCCACAUUCCAACUCAGCACAUCCUAACUCCUCGGGGAGGGCAACAUCUGUUCCUGCAGGGGGAAUGUUUCCAGCCUUCUCAUUGGUUCC
ensembl:lncRNA